GGGGGCGUCCCGGUUUCGACUGAACACUCGAGGCGUCGGCUGCAUGUGGUGGUUGAACGGCUGGCCACCUUAAAAGCCGCUCAAAACAUUAAGUGCCUAUUCUCAGAACGAAUACGCCAUGGCUGCGUAAGAUACGCGCCGAAGCCGCGGGCUGAUACCUGCUAAGCCCCCCGCUUAAUACACAGCAGGCUGGUGCCGUGCGGGGGAACCGCGUGCGGCGCGACAUCCACAGGUUUCUGGCUUGGUGCAAGGCUGACGCAUUGCGGAGCACCGGCGAGAGCAGCAAAAUGCGUCUGAACAUGGAGAUGCUUGCGUCAACAGUGUCCAGGACAGGGGUUCAAUUCCCCUCGCCUCCA
rnacentral:tmRNA from 1 species